UACGAAGGGGGCUAGCGUUGCUCGGAAUUACUGGGCGUAAAGCGCACGUAGGCGGUCUUUUAAGUCGGGGGUGAAAUCCUGGAGCUCAACUCCAGAACUGCCUUCGAUACUGGAAGACUUGAGUCCGGGAGAGGUGAGUGGAACUGCGAGUGUAGAGGUGAAAUUCGUAGAUAUUCGCAAGAACACCAGUGGCGAAGGCGGCUCACUGGCCCGGUACUGACGCUGAGGUGCGAAAGCGUGGGGAGUAAACAGG
rnacentral:rRNA from 1 species